GCUUUGUUUUGGUUUCAAAUUAAUACAUAUAUUAAUAUAACUUUGGAAAUAGAUAUAUUUCAGGAUUUUAAUAUGAUAUUGAACUACAUUCCUAAAUUGUGCAUUUUGCUAUCUCAUGCAGACUUUUACUCUUUUAAGUCUUAGGUACAACAAAGAGGAUAAUUCUAAGUAGCUAGAGAAGAAAUUCACCUUCCUUAUUUUAAGGAAUGGGUCCAAGAUAUUAAUUUGUUGUCUAUUUUUGAAAAGGAUUUAGGUUCUAAAAAUAAGAUGAUAUGGUACUCUGUUAUAGGAUACAUUUAAUGACUUAUAAUAAUCAUUCUUUCUAUUAACUAGAGAUUGGGUUUUGUUAUGUGUAGUUCAUUUUAGUUACUAUUCAGAGUUCUCUCACCCGCUCCCUCUAUUUCCUUCCUUCCUUCCUUCCUUCCUUCCUUCCUUCCUUCCUUCCUUCCUAUUUUCUUCUCCUUUGGAUGGGGAUUGCCUUUGAGUCAGUGUUGACUCUGGCAGCUGCCUAGACUAGUCCCUGCAGAUCUCUUGGCAAGAUUUUCACAAGUGAUUUGCCAUGACCUUCUUCUGCCUAGGAUUGAGCGAGAGUAUCAGACCCAAGGUCACCCAGCUGGAUUUGUGACUAAGGCAGGAAUAGAACUCCAAGUCUCUAGCCUGAUGCCUUAAAUUGGCUCUCUUCGUGAUAUAAUCACUAUUUAAUAUGGUGUGUAUGGGUAGGAGGGUUUCCCCUUACAAGCUUUGCACUAAGGAAUGGAAUUUGGCUUAUAUAAAUAGUCUUCGACUUGCAACCAUUCAAAGUUACAAUGGACUCUGAAAAUGCUACUUAGAACCCCAAUUCAAAUUCAUAUCUGAGUCGCCCCCCUCCCAAUCAUAUGACUGCAUUUUGGGCACUCUGCAACCGCUUGCAUUUAUGGCACUUUGCAGUACCCCAUGAUAUAGAAUUUUCCAGUCUGUGUUUUCAGCAGGUGUGAUGGUCUUUUCCAGGAAGGGUCUUUUGAUGUGCACACACCCUCUGCUGGGCAAAAGAACACAAAACAACACCUACAAUUUUGACGGUGAUAAACCGAUGAUAAUAAUCAUCUGGAGUAAUAGCUUCAUUUCUCUUAUGAGAUAGAUAUAAACAGUUGUGAUGGCAUAUAUUUCAGCACUUUAAUCUCUCUAACCCUAACUCAUAACUUUACAAAGAAGCUAACAAAGCUAAGGAGCCCACCACUCAAGAAUUCACAACAGAAGACAUUUCAAGGAGAAAGACAAGCUAGCUUUUGCUCAAUACAUUUUUAGAGGCUUAUUGCUACAAGAUACCCCUAAGGCUAAUUAUUUGGAAACCUGCAACUAUGUUUAGAAAAAUGAUUGUACAGUACUGUGUGCUUGUUUUCAAACCCACUACAAAAUGAUGAAGUAAUAAUUUGCUGCAAGAUGCCAAAUGGCCAUGAAAUACUAAUCUUAUAAUGAGAAAAGUGGGAAUAGUUGAGGAGAAUGAAGGAGAAUGAAAAAGUAUCAAUACUGUAUACUACUUUAAGAACCAGGCUACAAAUAUGUUUGUAUUUAUUUUUACUCAAUUGCUUUUCCUAACUUGGUGCUGGCUAUAAAACUGAAGGAUACUGUCUUGGAGUAAGCUACCCUAUGGACCAUCAUUUAUCUUUCCUGGUUUCUUUUUAUUCUCAGUAAGUCCUUCAAUUAAUUCAUAUUAUAUCUGUUUCCGUUUUGUUCUCCAUUUUGUAGCACAUGUUACCUAGUUGACUUUGACUAAUCUUGAAAAGGCAAAGUGGAGUGUAACUUACUUAGUGUUUGGGUGGGAGAUCAUUAGGGCUAAGCUGAGAAGUCUGAAAUAAACACCUCAGAAGGAGGCAAUGAAAAACCAUUUCCAGAUGGUUGCCAAUAACCUAUACAGAGAUCAAGCUCAUCUCAAAGGACUGCUUAUCUUUUUAUUUCUGAACCGGUUCCUCCACUCAUCUCCAACACACCAUUGAAUUCAUGUCUGCCACACAUUUGUGCCAAUCUAAGUUAAUGGUGUUAAAUGAAGUUUCUCCAAAUUAAAUGAUGGUUCUGGAGCCAAUUCAUAAUAUCCUUUAAAUACAAAACUUGCUGUGUUGAUUUACCACACAAGAAAUUACCUCAUUUUACC